rnacentral:lncRNA from 1 species
AGAAGUGAUUAGUUAAAGGAAUUUCUAAGUUAGGUUUAAAUAGGGACUAAGUUGAAUAGAGCUCAAAAUUUAUGUUUUAUAAUGAAUUUUAUGAGUUAGAAAUCGUUAAUGAGUUGAUUAAAAGAGAAUAUGAAGCUUAAGUUAAAGAAAAAAAGAUUAGUAAUGGAAAAAGGACGAAAUUGGAAUUUUUGUAAAAGUUUGGUAGAAAGUGAAAAUGUGUUUUAUGAAUUAAUAUAUUGAUGAUUUUUAAUUGUAUGAUUGUUAGUAGCAAAUGUAGCACCGGAUACGUCAUCAAAGAAGGGAAAAGAGAAAGUGAACGAAGAUAUCGAUUAAAUUCGAUAAAUAGUGGUUUGUAUUUCUAUAAACCGA